rnacentral:rRNA from 1 species
GAUGAACGCUGGCGGCGUGCCUAAUACAUGCAAGUCGAGCGAACAGACGAGGAGCUUGCUCCUCUGACGUUAGCGGCGGACGGGUGAGUAACACGUGGAUAACCUACCUAUAAGACUAGGAUAACUUCGGGAAACCGGAGCUAAUACCGGAUAAUAUAUUGAACCGCAUGGUUCAAUAGUGAAAGACGGUUUUGCUGUCACUUAUAGAUGGAUCCGCGCCGCAUUAGCUAGUUGGUAAGGUAACGGCUUACCAAGGCAACGAUGCGUAGCCGACCUGAGAGGGUGGUCGGCCACACUGGAACUUAGACACGGUCCAGACUCCUACGGGAGGCAGCAGUAGGGAAUCUUCCGCAAUGGGCGAAAGCCUGACGGAGCAACGCCGCGUGAGUGAUGAAGGUCUUCGGAUCGUAGAACUCUGUUAUUAGGGAAGAACAAAUGUGUAAGUAACUAUGCACGUCUUGACGGUACCUAAUCAGAAAGCCACGGCUAACUACGUG